CCCCUAGUGGCUCAGAGGGUAAAGAAUCUGUCUGCAAUGCAGGAGACCCGGGUUCGAUCCCUGGGUUGGGAA
rnacentral:tRNA from 1 species